rnacentral:rRNA from 1 species
GAUGAACGCUGGCGGCGUGCCUAAUACAUGCAAGUGGAGCGAACAGACGAGGAGCUUGCUCCUCUGACGUUAGCGGCGGACGGGUGAGUAACACGUGGAUAACCUACCUAUAAGACUGGGAUAACUUCGGGAAACCGGAGCUAAUACCGGAUAAUAUAUUGAACCGCAUGGUUCAAUAGUGAAAGACGGUUUUGCUGUCACUUAUAGAUGGAUCCGCGCCGCAUUAGCUAGUUGGUAAGGUAACGGCUUACCAAGGCAACGAUGCGUAGCCGACCUGAGAGGGUGAUCGGCCACACUGGAACUGAGACACGGUCCAGACUCCUACGGGAGGCAGCAGUAGGGAAUCUUCCGCAAUGGGCGAAAGCCUGACGGAGCAACGCCGCGUGAGUGAUGAAGGUCUUCGGAUCGUAAAACUCUGUUAUUAGGGAAGAACAAAUGUGUAAGUAACUAUGCACGUCUUGACGGUACCUAAUCAGAAAGCCACGGCUAACUACGUG